CAAUAGCGUAUAUUAAAGUUGUUGCAGUUAAAAAGCUCGUAGUUGGAUUUCUGGUAGGAGCGACCGUGCCGAACUUGAUUGUUCGAGUAUUGUGUUGUCUUCAGCCAUCCUCGUGGAGAACUUUUCUAACAUUAACUUGUUGGGAUUGGGACCCGCGUCGUUUACUGUGAAAAAAUUAGAGUGUUUAAAGCAGGCAUUAGCUUGAAUACAUUAGCAUGGAAUAAUAAGAUAGGACUUUGGUACUAUUUUGUUGGUUUGCAUUCCAAAUUAAUGAUCAACAGGAACAGUUUGAGGAUAUUCGUAUGAACAUGUCAGAGGUGAAAUUCUUGGAUUUUGAUCAGACGAACUACUGCGAAAGCAUUUAUCAAGGAUGUUUUCAUUAA
rnacentral:rRNA from 1 species